rnacentral:lncRNA from 1 species
GCCUGCCGUGGCCCAUGGUGAUGCCUGCUUGUUGCGACUGCCUGGACACUGGGUGUCUGAGCCAAAUGGAGGUAGAGAAGGCCUUCACCCCAAUGAGGGCCUGGAGGGUACCGGUGAUCUCUGACCCAAGACUGCGCCUUUCUCCCAACUGUGAGAGUGUCCCCUUCCCCGUGUGCCCGGGGUGCUGCCAUUCCCCCGGUGCAUAUUCUCAGUCCUCCUGGAUGCUGCCACUGGUCUCGCCCUGUUCCCAGGCACAGGCCGCCUGCCCUCCAUGAGCCCUGCCUGCAAAGCCCUAAGGCGAAAGCACCAAAGGGCCAGGAUUGUUGACUUGCUGAGGUGGACACAUAGUUUUGGUUUUACAGUAAAAAAGAUGUUGGCAUUUGUUGCUGAUGAUUAAAAGAGUUUAUUACAUGGUGAGUUUCUGUCCUCUCUGAGAUGCAUGUACGCUCCACCUGCUAGAAUAACGCAUCCCGGGGCCCCGUGGGGAUGGACAUGGAUUGUGCCUCUCACAGCACCUCGUCUUCAUCCAUCUG